GACAGAGGGUGCAAACGUUGCUCGGAAUCACUGGGCGUAAAGGGCGCGUAGGCGGCCUUCUAAGUCGAACGUGAAAUCCCUGGGCUCAACCCAGGAACUGCGUCCGAUACUGGAAGGCUUGAAUCCGGGAGAGGGAUGCGGAAUUCCGGGUGUAGCGGUGGAAUGCGUAGAGAUCCGGAAGAACACCGGUGGCGAAGGCGGUCUGCUGGGCAGUAGCUGACACUGAGGCGCGACAGCGUGGGGAGCAAACAGG
rnacentral:rRNA from 1 species